rnacentral:rRNA from 1 species
GGGACACGUGGUAUCCUGUCUGAAUAUGGGGGGACCAUCCUCCAAGGCUAAAUACUCCUGACUGACCGAUAGUGAACCAGUACCGUGAGGGAAAGGCGAAAAGAACCCCGGCGAGGGGAGUGAAAAAGAACCUGAAACCGUGUACGUACAAGCAGUGGGAGCCUCUUAAUGGGGUGACUGCGUACCUUUUGUAUAAUGGGUCAGCGACUUAUAUUCUGUAGCAAGGUUAACCGAAUAGGGGAGCCGAAGGGAAACCGAGUCUUAACUGGGCGUUAAGUUGCAGGGUAUAGACCCGAAACCCGGUGAUCUAGCCAUGGGCAGGUUGAAGGUUGGGUAACACUAACUGGAGGACCGAACCGACUAAUGUUGAAAAAUUAGCGGAUGACUUGUGGCUGGGGGUGAAAGGCCAAUCAAACCGGGAGAUAGCUGGUUCUCCCCGAAAGCUAUUUAGGUAGCGCCUCGUGAAUUCAUCUCCGGGGGUAGAGCACUGUUUCGGCAAGGGGGUCAUCCCGACUUACCAACCCGAUGCAAACUGCGAAUACCGGAGAAUGUUAUCACGGGAGACACACGGCGGGUGCUAACGUCCGUCGUGAAGAGGGAAACAACCCAGACCGCCAGCUAAGGUCCCAAAGUCAUGGUUAAGUGGGAAACGAUGUGGGAAGGCCCAGACAGCCAGGAUGUUGGCUUAGAAGCAGCCAUCAUUUAAAGAAAGCGUAAUAGCUCACUGGUCGAGUCGGCCUGCGCGGAAGAUGUAACGGGGCUAAACCAUGCACCGAAGCUGCGGCAGCGACACUGUGUGUUGUUGGGUAGGGGAGCGUUCUGUAAGCCUGCGAAGGUGUGCUGUGAGGCAUGCUGGAGGUAUCAGAAGUGCGAAUGCUGACAUAAGUAACGAUAAAGCGGGUGAAAAGCCCGCUCGCCGGAAGACCAAGGGUUCCUGUCCAACGUUAAUCGGGGCAGGGUGAGUCGACCCCUAAGGCGAGGCCGAAAGGCGUAGUCGAUGGGAAACAGGUUAAUAUUCCUGUACUUGGUGUUACUGCGAAGGGGGGACGGAGAAGGCUAUGUUGGCCGGGCGACGGUUGUCCCGGUUUAAGCGUGUAGGCUGGUUUUCCAGGCAAAUCCGGAAAACCAAGGCUGAGGCGUGAUGACGAGGCACUACGGUGCUGAAGCGACAAAUGCCCUGCUUCCAGGAAAAGCCUCUAAGCAUCAGGUAACAUCAAAUCGUACCCCAAACCGACACAGGUGGUCAGGUAGAGAAUACCAAGGCGCUUGAGAGAACUCGGGUGAAGGAACUAGGCAAAAUGGUGCCGUAACUUCGGGAGAAGGCACGCUGAUAUGUAGGUGAAGCGACUUGCUCGUGGAGCUGAAAUCAGUCGAAGAUACCAGCUGGCUGCAACUGUUUAUUAAAAACACAGCACUGUGCAAACACGAAAGUGGACGUAUACGGUGUGACGCCUGCCCGGUGCCGGAAGGUUAAUUGAUGGGGUUAGCGGCAACGCGAAGCUCUUGAUCGAAGCCCCGGUAAACGGCGGCCGUAACUAUAACGGUCCUAAGGUAGCGAAAUUCCUUGUCGGGUAAGUUCCGACCUGCACGAAUGGCGUAAUGAUGGCCAGGCUGUCUCCACCCGAGACUCAGUGAAAUUGAACUCGCUGUGAAGAUGCAGUGUACCCGCGGCAAGACGGAAAGACCCCGUGAACCUUUACUAUAGCUUGACACUGAACAUUGAGCCUUGAUGUGUAGGAUAGGUGGGAGGCUUUGAAGUGUGGACGCCAGUCUGCAUGGAGCCGACCUUGAAAUACCACCCUUUAAUGUUUGAUGUUCUAACGUUGGCCCCUAAUCGGGGUUGCGGACAGUGUCUGGUGGGUAGUUUGACUGGGGCGGUCUCCUCCUAAAGAGUAACGGAGGAGCACGAAGGUUGGCUAAUCCUGGUCGGACAUCAGGAGGUUAGUGCAAUGGCAUAAGCCAGCUUGACUGCGAGCGUGACGGCGCGAGCAGGUGCGAAAGCAGGUCAUAGUGAUCCGGUGGUUCUGAAUGGAAGGGCCAUCGCUCAACGGAUAAAAGGUACUCCGGGGAUAACAGGCUGAUACCGCCCAAGAGUUCAUAUCGACGGCGGUGUUUGGCACCUCGAUGUCGGCUCAUCACAUCCUGGGGCUGAAGUAGGUCCCAAGGGUAUGGCUGUUCGCCAUUUAAAGUGGUACGCGAGCUGGGUUUAGAACGUCGUGAGACAGUUCGGUCCCUAUCUGCCGUGGGCGCUGGAGAACUGAGGGGGGCUGCUCCUAGUACGAGAGGACCGGAGUGGACGCAUCACUGGUGUUCGGGUUGUCAUGCCAAUGGCACUGCCCGGUAGCUAAAUGCGGAAGAGAUAAGUGCUGAAAGCAUCUAAGCACGAAACUUGCCCCGAGAUG